UGUUUGUUAUCCAUUCAAUCAAUUUCAGUUAACGUAAAAGCUUGCUGGUUACUAAUUAAUGUUAGUUAAUAUUAAUAUCGUAAUCAUCAUGUUUUCCUUCAAAAAACGCGCUUCUCGACGGUUGCCAAGUGAACCUAAGCUUUCCCUCUUUUUUAAUAACAUUAACAAUUGGCUUCUAAAAUUAAUUGCUUCUUUAAUUAUUUUUGCCAACCAUUUUUGUUAACAAUUUUUGCUGUUAAAACACUUAAUUACUAACUUCAAAGUAGCCUCUUCGUAUUUGAAAAUUCCUGUAACGGAUUUUAUUUUUGUUGGAGAUCGUCAAAUGGUCGAAUCGAGAUCCAAAGAGACGAUGUUUUUGAAUUAUUUUGGGCCUGGACCUGCUAAUUUAUAUGCUGAUCGUCUCCACUUGAAUGAUAUCGAUACCAAUUGAUGUAAUUUGACCAUCGAGUUAAAGUCUACCCCUCUUGUUUCCAUGUCAGGAUGGAUGGUAAAACGAUUUGAUACCAUUAUUAUUGUUCCAGUAUUUAAGAUGAUUUAAAUGGCUGUUUAAGAUGUCGUCUCAAUGUCAUUGGAAUUAUUACAUCCAUGUAUUAUGCUCAACGGAAAUCAAUAUACGAUUACAUGAUGAGAUAAUGAACCAUUUUGGCCCCGCUGUAAAUGUUAUAAAGGUCAAUGGCAAUGAUGAUUUCAUUUCCUGGAUCAGGAAAUUUGUAUUAAUAUUUUAGGAUAAUUUCGUUUCCACCACUGAAUAGCAGUCAAGCCAAAAGUCGAAGUAACACAAUCUAAAACCAAACCAUCUCAAUAUUGACGACAAAUAGCUAUUGAUAAAUUACUCGAGUUGCAAUCAAUAAUUUCAUGGAAGGAGAAAGGAUCUUCAAUAAUAGCAACUAAAGACAACAUUUUAACAAUAUUUAAACUCAUCUCUCAAUGCUUUGUGUAAAUGUAAUAUUUUUGUCAUCUCAUCACCAUCUUAUUCAAUUUACAUUAACAAAAGGUUGCUCAUUUCAUUGUUCAUCUCUAAACGAAAAUGAAAAUGAAAUUAGAUAAAAAAAGGGUGAAAAUUAAUUUCUUUCCAAGAUAUAAGAUUGAAAUGAGCAUCAAAUGAAAAUCUCAACAAUUGAAAUUGAAAGUUACAAAAUGAAAAGGUAACGAGAAGGCAAAAAAUUGCAAAAUGUCAAAAUUUAAAGUUAACCCUGUAAAUUGUGAUAAUUAACAAUAAUGAUGAAUAUGUACAACCCAGAUAGUUACAUUAAUGGUAGCUGUUAAGAUGGUGAUUUGUAGCUAAAAGCUUGAAGCUAAUUACCUUCAACUAUCAUGUAGAUAAGAUGAUCACUUAACAUCAAACGUUUAUUAGCUAAAAUUAACAAUCAAAGUUAAUUUUCAA